rnacentral:rRNA from 1 species
UGGGGAAUUUUGGACAAUGGGGGAAACCCUGAUCCAGCCAUCCCGCGUGUGCGAUGAAGGCCUUCGGGUUGUAAAGCACUUUUGGCAGGAAAGAAACGUCAUGGGUUAAUACCCCGUGCAACUGACGGUACCUGCAGAAUAAGCACCGGCUAACUACGUGCCAGCAGCCGCGGUAAUACGUAGGGUGCAAGCGUUAAUCGGAAUUACUGGGCGUAAAGCGUGCGCAGGCGGUUCGGAAAGAAAGAUGUGAAAUCCCAGAGCUCAACUUUGGAACUGCAUUUUUAAUUACCGGGCUAGAGUGUGUCAGAGGGAGGUGGAAUUCCGCGUGUAGCAGUGAAAUGCGUAGAUAUGCGGAGGAACACCGAUGGCGAAGGCAGACUCCUGGGAUAACACUGACGCUCAUGCACGAAAGCGUGGGGAGCAAACAGG